rnacentral:rRNA from 1 species
AUUGAACGCUGGCGGCAGGCCUAACACAUGCAAGUCGAGCGGAUGAAGGGAGCUUGCUCCUGGAUUCAGCGGCGGACGGGUGAGUAAUGCCUAGGAAUCUGCCUUGUAGUGGGGGAUAACGUCCGGAAACGGGCGCUAAUACCGCAUACGUCCUGAGGGAGAAAGUGGGGGAUCUUCGGACCUCACGCUAUCAGAUGAGCCUAGGUCGGAUUAGCUAGUUGGUGGGGUAAAGGCCUACCAAGGCGACGAUCCGUAACUGGUCUGAGAGGAUGAUCAGUCACACUGGAACUGAGACACGGUCCAGACUCCUACGGGAGGCAGCAGUGGGGAAUAUUGGACAAUGGGCGAAAGCCUGAUCCAGCCAUGCCGCGUGUGUGAAGAAGGUCUUCGGAUUGUAAAGCACUUUAAGUUGGGAGGAAGGGAAGUAAGUUAAUACCUUGCUGUUUUGACGGUACCAACAGAAUAAGCACCGGCUAACUUCGUG